UACAGGGGGGGCAAGCGUUGUUCGGAAUUACUGGGCGUAAAGGGUUUGUAGGUGGCUUGCUAAGUCAGACGUGAAAUCCCUCAGCUUAACUGGGGAACUGCGUCUGAUACUGGCGAGCUUGAGUGCAGGAGAGGAACGCGGAAUUCCAGGUGUAGAGGUGAAAUUCGUAGAUAUCAGGAGGAACACCAGUGGCGAAGGCGGCUUUCUGGACGGUAACUGACGCUGA
rnacentral:rRNA from 1 species